CUAACAUGCAGUCGACGGGCUCUUCGAAUCUAGUGCUGAACAGGUGAGUAACACGUGACAAUCUGGCUCCCGGUCUGGGACAACAGAGGGAAACUUCUGCUAAUCCCGGAUGAGCCGAAAGGUUAAAAAUUUAUCGGCGGGAGAUGAGCUCGCUUCUGAUUAGCUAGUUGGUGAGGUAAAGGCUCACCAAUGCCACGAUGAGUAGCUGGUCUGACAGGAUGAUCACCCACACUGGGACUGAUACACGGCCCAUACUCCUACCGGAGGCAGCAAUGGGGAAUUUUCCCCAAUGGGCGCAAGCCUGACGGAACAUUACCGCGUGGGGGAGGAAGGCACUCGGGUUGUAAACCCCUUUUCUCAAGGAAGAACGCAAUGACAGCACUUGAGGAAUAAGCCUCGGCUAACUCCGUGCCAGCGGCCUCAGUAAUACAGAUGAGGCAAGCGUUAUCCGGAAUGAUUGGGCGUAAAGCGUCCGUAGGUGGAUGUUCAAGUCUGCUGUCAAAGACAGUGGCUUAACUACUGAAAGGCAGUGGAUACUGAACAGCUAGAGUGCUGUAGGGGCAGAGUGAAUUCCCGGUGUAGCGUUGAAAUGCGUAGAUUCGGGAAGAACACCGGUGGCGAAAGCGCUCUGCUGGGCCGCAACUGACACUGAGGGACGACAGCUAGGGGAGCGAAUGGCAUAGAUACCCCAGUAGUCAUAGCCGUAACGAUGGAAACUAGGUGUAGCCUGUAUCGACCCAGCUGUGCCGAACUAACGCGUUAGUUUCCGCCUGGAGAGUACUCACGCAUGUGUGAAAUCAUAGGAAUGACGGUGGCCACACAACGGUGGAGUAUGUGGUUUAUUCAUGCACGCGCAGAACUUACCUGGCUUGACAGUCCGGAUCAUGAUGAAGGCGAGAGUGCUUCGGGAGCAGAUACGGUGGUGCAGGCUGUCUCACUCUCGCAUGAGAUAUGGUUAAUCCCGCACGAGCGAACCUCCCCUAGUUCCAUCAUCAGUGGACUUUAGGAG
rnacentral:rRNA from 1 species